AUUGUCCGUGGGAACGUCUGCAAAAAAGCUACAGCUAUGGAUGAUCCUAUUUUUGACAAGACUCCAAAAUCUAAUGCUCCCACAACAGACAAGCCUGCUGAUCCUAAGUUAACACCAAAAAUAAAUAGUGAAGGACAAAAAUCUGUUACACAUGAUACUCCUGUAUCUGGUGCACCUCUGUUUGAUAAAACCCCAUUGACAGAUGCAACUACUGACCUGGUUGCAAAGGAUAGUUCCUGUAAAGACGCA